CUCUAAAAUCCACACCCAGAACGCGCCCAAUCUCUUCUGAUCUCAGAAGCUAAGCAGGGUCGAUCCUGGAUAGUAUUUGAAUGAGAGACAACCUGGAAUACAGC
rnacentral:rRNA from 1 species